UUUGUUUCUCUGAACUUCAGGGCUGUUGGGAUCAGUCCCUGGGUUUUAAUUUCUGUUUGCUAAUGCAAAUGAAUUCUAUACACUCAGGGUAGAAAAUUGAGCCUACCAAGAGAGCACCUCAACCCCCCUGGGUGCAGGUUGUUUGCCUUCGGGUUUCAUGUAAACAGGUGCCUGAAGAUGCCUGUAGAGCCCUCUCUGAGCUGCAGGCUGGGGAAGGACUAGACUGGCCCUGUAAAUUGAAGGCAGAGAAAGAACACCUGACCAUCACCCUGCCCGGGAGGGACCAGAGACCAGUGCUGGAAGUCUACACAUAUGAGAGUUCUGAAGGCAAAUGGCAGCAGAGCCCGAGACUGAAUUUCUAAUACGUUCUCAGGUGAUGGGGAAGUUGCAGAUCCCGGAGGACUUAAGGGAGCACACUGAGACAAAGACAGAAACUGAAGGAUUCUAGAAGGGAAAGUCAUGGCUGAACUGGCGCAGCUGCCUGUGUCAGUGGCUGCGGUAGGUAGCAAGUGGAGACCACCACAGAAGACCACACGUGCACACAGGGCAGAGAUCAGUGGUUGGUGGGGAGCCCGGCCACAAGGGAUACAGCUUUCCUGGGUCUUGCAUUGGUGUCUCAGAAGAUGACUACAGAAAGACUCUGUCAGAGCCAGACCACCAGGAAACUCUCAGUGACAUAGUCUCUCCCAGAAAUGGCUGCAUAAAGAAGACCGGAGCAAUAUCAAUAAGCAUAUUAAUGUGGAGGGGACAAAUGCACAGAGUCUUAUCCCUGGACAAAGAACUACAGGCAACUAAGGGCUGAGGGAGAGGGAGAGCUAGCUUCUUCCAGGGACGAGCUUCCUUAUUGGUUGUUCAGUACAGAGUGGGCAAUUAUGAAACCAUACACACACAAACAACAAAACCAGACUCGGCAGCUUGUACUUAGAUAU
rnacentral:lncRNA from 1 species